rnacentral:tRNA from 1 species
CGCGGGGUAGAGCAGUCUGGUAGCUCGUCGGGCUCAUAAUCCGAAGGUCGAGGGUUCAAAUCCUUCCUCCGCUA